rnacentral:piRNA from 1 species
UUCACGCAAAGGACAGUGGCUUUGGCUUCC